AGUGAACGCUGGCGGUAGGCCUAACACAUGCAAGUCGAACGGCAGCACAGUAAGAGCUUGCUCUUACGGGUGGCGAGUGGCGGACGGGUGAGGAAUACAUCGGAAUCUACUUUUUCGUGGGGGAUAACGUAGGGAAACUUACGCUAAUACCGCAUACGACCUACGGGUGAAAGCAGGGGAUCUUCGGACCUUGCGCGAUUGAAUGAGCCGAUGUCGGUUUAGCUAGUUGGCGGGGUAAAGGCCCACCAAGGCGACGAUCCGUAGCUGGUCUGAGAGGAUGAUCAGCCACACUGGAACUGAGACACGGUCCAGACUCCUACGGGAGGCAGCAGUGGGGAAUAUUGGACAAUGGGCGCAAGCCUGAUCCAGCCAUACCGCGCGGGUGAAGAAGGCCUUCGGGUUGUAAAGCCCUUUUGUUGGGAAAGAAAAGCAGCAGGUUAAUACCCCGCUGUUCUGACGGUACCCAAAGAAUAAGCACCGGCUAACUUCGUG
rnacentral:rRNA from 1 species